ACUAUAUAAAGUCAACUGGGUGGCUACUAACUCAUCGUUCUAAUAUUCAAAAAUGAAUUUCCUAGUUAUGGUUGCUGCAGCCUUUACCGCUUUACUGGCCUACAGUGGUGAAAAAAUCAAGCUACCACCCUUCCUUCCCGGAAAGUAAAGGAAUGCCAGAGCUCUUUUAUCUGAUUGCAAAAUUCCAUUAAACAUGUAUUUGGGUUCUGUUCACAAAUAUCAAUCGUAAAUAAAAUCGUAAUUAA